rnacentral:rRNA from 1 species
AAUAUUGCGCAAUGAGGGGAACCUUGACGCAGCAACGCCGCGUGAGCGACGAAGGCCUUCGGGUCGUAAAGCUCUGUCUUAAGGGAUGAUAAUGACAGUACCUUAAGAGGAAGCCCCGGCUAACUACGUGCCAGCAGCCGCGGUAAUACGUAGGGGGCGAGCGUUGUCCGGAAUUACUGGGCGUAAAGGGUACGUAGGCGGCUAUAUAAGUCAGGUGUGAAAUACCAGUGCUUAACACUGGAAUUGCAUUUGAAACUGUGUAGCUUGAGUGCAGGAGAGGAAAGUGGAAUUCCUAGUGUAGCGGUGAAAUGCGUAGAGAUUAGGAGGAACACCAGUGGCGAAGGCGACUUUCUGGACUGUAACUGACGCUGAGGUACGAAAGCGUGGGUAGCGAACA